rnacentral:lncRNA from 1 species
CCUACCUCUGCUCUUUCCAGCCCACUUCUGGUUAAGACCCUGCUGCGGACCACUUACCACACCUGUUUCUGACUUUUAGGCUUCAGACUGCAUCCCCAUUUCUCCCUUGAAGGGCAUUGGCACCCUGAGAGAGGUACAGAAAAGGCAGGAAAGCUGAGACGUAAUCUGAAGGACAUUGAGGCCCAGUUCUGAAGCGUUAACUUUCGAAUCUCCAAAUUAUGAGGCAAGAGCUGAGGUCUUCAGAACCCAGAAGGCAGAGUGG